GUGAAUAUGAAUUUCCAUGUCUUUCAGCAUUAUUUUGGUGUUUGUUUUAACAGGCAACUGGAGCUGGAUAUGGAAACUGUAGUUAAGGUACUACAACCUGGUCCACUAGGCAUUGUGGAACACAAAUUUUCUGCUGAGGAAAUACAGAAAGCCAGUGACACCGUUAAGCAUGCAGUGAGUAAUUGGCGUAGGCAGGCUAACAUUGAG
rnacentral:misc_RNA from 1 species